CAUGCUAGACCGAGUUUGAUCAAUGGCUCAGGAUGAACGCUUGGCGGCGUGCCGUAAUACAUGCAAAGUCGAACGAGGUGCUUUUGUAGCAAUACCGAGAGUAUCCUAGUGGCGAACGGGUGAGUAACGCGUGGAUGACCUGCCCCAAAGUGUGGGAUAACAGUCCGAAAGGAUUGCUAAUACCUCAUGUGGUUAUCGGUUUUAGAAAGCGAUACUAAAGCAGCAAUGCGCUUUGGGAGGGAUCUGCGUCCCAUCAGCUAGUUGGUGAGGUAACGGCUCACCAAGGCGACGACGGGUAGGGGACCUGAGAGGGUGGCCCCCCACAAUGGAACUGAAACACGGUCCAGACUCCUACGGGAGGCAGCAGUGGGGAAUAUUGGGCAAUGGGGGAAACCCUGACCCAGCGACGCCGCGUGAGGGAAGAAGGCCUUAGGGUCGUAAACCUCUGUUGUGUGGGAAGAAGAGCGUGACGGUACCACACGAGGAAGUCCCGGCUAACUACGUG
rnacentral:rRNA from 1 species